rnacentral:lncRNA from 1 species
GGACAGUGAAGCACCCUGUUCGAGCUCCGGUUCGGACAGUGAAGCGCCAAGGAACAUCGUAGUGGGAGGAUCUGAUGGAUGGAAAAAAGGUUUGGAUUACAAAGAGUGGGCUUCCAAGAAUGCUCCUUUCUACGUCAACGAUGUUCUUGGUAAGUAACGUAUUCUAUAUCUUAUUUUACUAUACCUUAUUUUCUAUGGUAAAUCAUUGAAUCGGCGUUAAUGAAUCAUCUUUUGACAUGGUGCAGUUUUCAAGUACGAUAAAUCGGCCAAGCGAAGGAACAAUGUAUAUUUGUUCCAAGAUCCAUGGAGUUAUAUGAACUGCGACCUAAAGAAUGCAAAGAAGAUUGGUUUGACGCAUAAAAGAUCAGAAAAAAGCUUCAAGUUUACACUUCGACAAAAUAAGCCUUACUUCUUUGCGUCGGGCGAGCAUGAUGGUGAUUAUUGCACCAACCACAACAUGAAGUUCACCCUUUUCCCUGUUCC